AUCUAACCCCGACAGGAUCGAUAUCCUUUGCCUGGCUUUUUUUAGACAGGUAAAGAUAAAGAGUAUGGCGGGAACAAAU
rnacentral:ncRNA from 2 species